rnacentral:rRNA from 1 species
GAGAUUCCCCCAGCAGCGGCGAGCGAACGGGGAGCAGCCCAGAGCCUGAAUCAGUGUGUGUGUUAGUGGAAGCGUCUGGAAAGGCGUGCGAUACAGGGUGACAGCCCCGUACACAAAAAUGCACAUAUUGUGAGCUCGAUGAGUAGGGCGGGACACGUGGUAUCCUGUCUGAAUAUGGGGGGACCAUCCUCCAAGGCUAAAUACUCCUGACUGACCGAUAGUGAACCAGUACCGUGAGGGAAAGGCGAAAAGAAC